UGCUGCCCAUGUUCUGUAGGAGCACUUCUGCGUAGUAAUGACAUUUGCUCCGACACUGCUGAUGAUCUUGCUGCCCGUUAUCUUUCCAUUUCGACCAGCAGCAUAUGCAUCAAAAGACAUUGAAGAAAGAAGAUAUCAUUUAGGAUCAAAUGGUUUGAACGAUGUGGAGUCUCGAAGAGAUACCUUAGGUUGCAACAAGCGAAUGGAUCGUUGCCGAUACUCGGAAAGCUGCGUCUGCCACUAUUUAUCAGCAUUCGGACGAUGGUACCAAGGUUGGUAUCACUACGACCCCAGGCAUCGACAGUGUUUUCGAGGCGGAGAAGCAAACAACUGCAACGGGUUUGAAACCCUCAGCAAAUGCACUCGGAGAUGCAUAUUGAGAUGGCCCUCGUGACG